CAUUAAGCCACACAAAAGUCUCAAAUUCCAAAAAAUUCCAAAAGCCUAAGUUUCCAUUUCCACCCCUUACCCACGAUAUUAUUCACUUUAAAGUAAACAAUAACACAUCAAAAUAGUGAUCUAAUACUUCACGUUAAAGUCGUUAACGUAAACAUCAACUUCCGGCGGCUGAGGCGGUGGCGGUGGCGGCAGCGAGUUAAAGUACGCUAAAUGGGAAUCACAGAAUUGGGAUCGAUUUUUAUUAUUAUUCUUAUCUAUUAUCUUUUGUUCAGUUUGAUUUCAUUCUAUUAGCAAAAUGUUAUAUUUUUGUUCUAACUUGACUUCACGUGCCUCAUGGCACGCCACCUAUUAAGGUUAAAUAAUGAAAUUAAAAUUAUAUUACUCGAACGACAUGAGUAUGAAGUACUCGUAGUUGUUGACGUUUAUUUACGUAAUUAUUACGUAUGCGACGUAGUUGCUCCAUCUUCGGGUAAACAAUAUCAUUUAUUUAUUGCGUCGGUCGGUCGCUUGGUCGUCGGAUAUAUUCGCUGUCUUAUCUGUCUUUGAUUUCUGAUAGAGAGAUAGCGGAGAGUGUCAUCAGACGUGUUUUUAUAUUAUACCUGUAAACUUUACACAGAACAUAUGGGUAAUUAUUCUGUCAGAGAACAGGUGUAACAACGACGACCGACGACGCACGUUGGUGGUGGCAACGGAGUCGGUACGGUGGUGGUGGUGUCGGUAAUCGUCAACGUUAUGUAACAUUGUAGAUAGCGGCAGCUUGUUUUGUUUCAAAUUGUCAAUGUCAAGUUCGCCUUCGAAAAACUUUGCUUUUUUUGAACUGUGAAAAUUCGCAGAAAGGUGAUUCGUGAUUAAACUAUCAGUGGCAGUGUCUGCUAAUAAAAUAAUUGACUCUGUCUCGCUUGUUGUGUGCCUUCUUCCAUCGCAUCAUCUCACAGUGGCAGGCCGAUCGGCUUCGCCAUCCCCAUUGCUUCAAGCGCUGCUGUGUCGGUGCUACAGUGCUGGUGAUGGUGCUGGCUUCACUCUUCCGCUUGACACUUGUUUGUCAUUUUGAUAAUAAUUAUGAAAUUUGUAGUCAAGUGGCGGUGCACAAUUUUUUAACGCGUGCCGAAUGUUUUUUUUUCUUGGGUGUUUUGGCUUGACUUGGCGCGUUGCGUCGCGUCGAGUCGGCCACCACCACCGCCAUCCACGCCACUCACCACCACCAAAUGAUGAUUUAUGAUGUUGCUAGUUGCUGGUAAUGGCGCUGAUCUGUUGCUGCGGUCGCUGUCAUGUUGUGUGUUGCUGGUGCUGCCGGGAUCGGGAUGUCGCUGUCGAUGUCGAAAGUCUUCCAAGUCGAAGUCGCGAUGGCUUGGCUCUGUAUGGUGGUUGAUGUGAUGAUGUUGCCAACAAUGACGAUGAUGAUGAUGAUGCCGAUGAUGGGAAUGGGGUGUGUAUGGCUAAUUUGAUUGAAUAUAGUGGCAAUUUGUCAGAGACUGUAAUAAUAUGUAGGCGCAGUAUGAAAGCAACAACAUUUCUUAUACGUUAAGUAUAAGGGCGGUAGUUUUCGAGUUGCUGCAGAACAACAUCUCAGUGGUGCUGUAGGUUGGUGGUGGUGCGGUGAGUUCAGAACCCGUGCAAGUGCUUAAUGGAAUCGAAACAGUUAAAUGGAGUGCUACUGUCAAAUUUAUUAAUUGUCGCAUUUACACACCGCAGCGAUUCACUGUGUCUGGCUAAUUAGCAUUUGAAUUGACAUCUCUCAAGAUGACUGUUUAUGCGAAAAAGUCUCUAUCCACAUGGAACCAUAUGGAAGGUUGACCUUUAAGAAAAACACGGUUAGCAGCGGUGUGACAACACCGACGCGACAUGUUGCGCGGUAGAGGCAGCGCAGCGCAGCAUUACACGUUUAUUUCUAUGCAGGAAUUUGAAUUGAUUGCAAGUGAUGAUUAUCAAUCACUCGGCAUGGGUUUGACGCAAGAUGACGCGAGAUUGUUUGUUGUUUUUGUUUUUUCUUUUAUUAUAAAAAGUUGACAUUCUCUACUGACACAUUGCUGCUUUGGCGUAGGUAUAGUAAAAUAUCACGUAAUGUCUGUAUUUAAAAUUAUUGUUUAAAACUAAUUGAAUUUUUGUAGCUAUAUCAUAGAAUUACAAUAACGUGAUUUGAGAGUUACAACAAAAAUGAUCUAAUAUGGUUUUUAUAGAAUACUAGAUCAUAGUAUGAGAUAUAAAAAGAUUUGUUUGUAUUUUUCAAUUAGAUUAAUGAGAAAAGAUCAAUUUGAUAAAAAAUUGAAAAAUACACCUUAACAAUAAGAACUAUUAGUCAGGCUAAGGUUAAGUUAAAAUUUCAUGAUGCAAGAACGUUAUCUUUUGUUCUUA